GACGAACGCUGGCGGCGUGCUUAACACAUGCAAGUCGAGCGGUAAGGCCCUUUCGGGGGUACGACGAGCGGCGAACGGGUGAGUAACACGUGGGUGACCUGCCCUUAGCUCUGGGAUAAGCCUGGGAAACUGGGUCUAAUACCGGAUAUGACUCCAUGACGCAUGUUGUGGGGUGGAAAGCCUUGUGCGGCUAGGGAUGGGCCCGCGGCCUAUCAGCUUGUUGGUGGGGUGAUGGCCUACCAAGGCGACGACGGGUAGCCGGCCUGAGAGGGCGACCGGCCACACUGGGACUGGGACACGGCCCAGACUCCUACGGGAGGCAGCAGUGGGGAAUCUUGCGCAAUGGGCGAAAGCCUGACGCAGCGACGCCGCGUGAGGGAUGAC
rnacentral:rRNA from 1 species